UGCAGUCGAGCGGGGAGAGUAGCUUGCUACUUUACCUAGCGGCGGACGGGUGAGUAAUGCUUAGGAAUCUGCCUAUUAGUGGGGGACAACAUCUCGAAAGGGAUGCUAAUACCGCAUACGUCCUACGGGAGAAAGCAGGGGACCUUCGGGCCUUGCGCUAAUAGAUGAGCCUAAGUCGGAUUAGCUAGUUGGUGGGGUAAAGGCCUACCAAGGCGACGAUCUGUAGCGGGUCUGAGAGGAUGAUCCGCCACACUGGGACUGAGACACGGCCCAGACUCCUACGGGAGGCAGCAGUGGGGAAUAUUGGACAAUGGGGGGAACCCUGAUCCAGCCAUGCCGCGUGUGUGAAGAAGGCCUUUUGGUUGUAAAGCACUUUAAGCGAGGAGGAGGCUACCGAGAUUAAUACUCUUGGAUAGUGGACGUUACUCGCAGAAUAAGCACCGGCUAACUCUGUGCCAGCAGCCGCGGUAAUACAGAGGGUGCAAGCGUUAAUCGGAUUUACUGGGCGUAAAGCGCGCGUAGGUGGCCAAUUAAGUCAAAUGUGAAAUCCCCGAGCUUAACUUGGGAAUUGCAUUCGAUACUGGUUGGCUAGAGUAUGGGAGAGGAUGGUAGAAUUCCAGGUGUAGCGGUGAAAUGCGUAGAGAUCUGGAGGAAUACCGAUGGCGAAGGCAGCCAUCUGGCCUAAUACUGACACUGAGGUGCGAAAGCAUGGGGAGCAAACAGGAUUAGAUACCCUGGUAGUCCAUGCCGUAAACGAUGUCUACUAGCCGUUGGGGCCUUUGAGGCUUUAGUGGCGCAGCUAACGCGAUAAGUAGACCGCCUGGGGAGUACGGUCGCAAGACUAAAACUCAAAUGAAUUGACGGGGGCCCGCACAAGCGGUGGAGCAUGUGGC
rnacentral:rRNA from 1 species